AUACUCCCUCCGUCCGCCAAAAGUGGACCACUUUGGCUGGGCACGGUAUUUAAUAAAAUUGGUGAUAAUUUUGAUGUAGUGGAGAAAGGGUCCCACCACUUUAUGAGAUGUGUGGUUGAGAUUGAAUUUGAGGUGGUUUUUUUGUAAAUAAAGAGUGUUUGUAAGGAUAAAAGAUUAAAGUGGAUGGUGGGACCAUUUCCAUAAAAGGAAAGUGGUAUACUCUUUGCGGACGCCCGAUUUAGUAAAA
rnacentral:lncRNA from 1 species